rnacentral:pre_miRNA from 1 species
AGUGGCUUUGGUCAGCUUUGGUAAAUGUCAUGCACCUGAGCAACAAAAGGCCUCUUA